CAAGAUGGAGAAGAUCUCCACGGCCACCAUGGCCUUCCCCUUGGUGCUCAGAUGAUGACCCCUGUACUAAGUUCAUAUUCAGUACCGUGCAAGGAAGACAUCAGAAUUCUGUAACUAAAAUUGAAAUCCUAUUAUUUUUAUGAAAAGUAAAACCAACGGAUACACAUGGCCUAUCCUAUGUUUCUUCUGAAUGGCAAGCAACAAAGAAACAACAAUAUGCCAUUUUGUUCAACUGAUGGAGUGCUCUCAGAGGACAGAGAGAACCAGAUAUAAGGACAAUAAACCACCCAUUCUGAUCAGUGUUCUCCCAAACUUAUUGACUUUGGAUAGAAUGAAACAGCUGAGUUUGGAAACAUGGUAUAUGUCGGUGAUGGGACUCCCUGCUUCUGUUUCUGUUUCUCCUGUUUGAGGUACAGAAGAUUGGAAAAACAACCUUUAAAACAUUCAUGCAUGUUUCUGCAGUAUAUUCUGCUUACUUUUUAAAGAAGUAAAUGAUUGUUGUGCACAAUCCAACAGCAUAUUUAUUAAGAAAAUCUUCAUAUCCAUAUGAAUUGUUCCAUCUCUCAUUAGAGAUGUCUGAAAGCCUUACUGAGACUUUCAGAGACAUUGAAAAAGUGCCUGGUCAAUCGUCCAAAUGGGAUGGUGUAACACAAUGUCUUUCAACAGCAGGAGUGGACACAGUGAUUUUCUGGCCACUUUCAACUCUGUGAUUCUAUGAUUCCAUGAUCAUUAGAAUCAUAGAAUUCUGCUCUUGAAGAACUUGUUCAAACUCCAUUCUCACCCCAGUAGGUUUUGGGCUUUUAUCUGGCCCUGAAUGGUUGAACUACCUGUCCAUUUAGAAAUUGUCCCUUCCGGACAAUGAUCACAUCUGUAGCAGCAAAUUGGCUUCCCCUCUGGGACCUUUUUCCAGUGCCCUGGAGAGCAUCUCUCCACACACCGUGCAACAGGCAUUGUCUAAAAGGAAAAAAGGCAAAUGUUUGAGGAUAUCCAAUGACAACACUGUCACAGAACUGAUUUACUCAGAAUUCCCCAUUGCAUGGUGGAUUGGAUGACCUAUUCAGCAAGGCCAAAUAUCAUCUGGAUUUCUGCGGGUUACUUGGAAGAGGAUUCCCGUGGCAGAAAGGAAUAGAAUGUUGGAAAUCAGGCAUCCAAAACAAACUCCAUACCAUGAAGGAGUCUAUCCCACAUGUCCUCCCCCUGUUGUGAGGGGUUGGGGUCAGUGGAGGCAUAUCAGAGAUCUAUUUUAUACUCCAUGUUCCCCAUGCAACCCAAUAAGCCACUUCAGAAGGGUAUCGGGGAGUUUUUUUGCCUGGUUUAAUUUGGAUGGAAGUGAUGGAAGAAUCACCUUGAAAUUGCACCCAAGAAUGGAGAUCAUGUGCUUCAACAGGAAAGCAUGAUGAUAAAUGUGUCUAUGGGGAAAUCUCAUCCACCUUGCAAAGUAUGUCUAAAAUGUAUUCAGAAGCAAAAACGAAACAACCCCCCCCCCAAAAAAAACACAGGAGUCUGCCAUCCAAUGAACCAGAUCCUAGGUGCACCUUGCAGGGUAUUGGUUACAUGGGCUGGGGGCACCUCUUGCAGUUUAGGCAGGAGUCUUUUUCUACCCCCAAGCAAAGCUGUGAUAUUGGCAUGAAAAGCUGGUUCUUGAGCCAUGAACAGCAACCCAGCCCAGCCUCAGUAGACUUUUGGUCUCAACUAGAUAUGCAUCUUCCCAAGAUGAGGAAAACAGUCCCCACAAGGUUCUUUACUUCUCCCAUGACCAACAGGGUUCAGUUCCAUCUCACCUCUGUAGCCCAGAUGAUUCCCUCUGAGUGAAUGGUGAAGUCUUGGCUUGGGGGAGCUCCCAGAUCUAUGCCUCCCACUUUCACUGGAGCAAAAGACCAAUUUGGAAACAAGAUCCAGUUCACAAUGUCAUAUUUCUUUUCAUCUCCAUCACCAUGGUUAAACUGGGCAUUCUUCAAGGAGGCAAGGAUCUGAAAGUAACAAAGAUAUAGAAGGAGGGGGUUCUGGAGUUUUCCAAAAAAUAAUUCAUUUCGGAAAGUGUUUUUUUUUUUUUUUUUGCUGUACUAAUUUCCAAUCUUGGCUAAAUGGUGGGAUACAAUUCAAAUAAAUAAAUAAAUACUCAAAUAC